rnacentral:rRNA from 1 species
UACGUAGGGUGCAAGCGUUAAUCGGAAUUACUGGGCGUAAAGCGUGCGCAGGCGGUUUUGUAAGUUUGUCGUGAAAUCCCCGGGCUCAACCUGGGAAUGGCGAUGAAGACUGCAAGGCUAGAAUCUGGCAGAGGGGGGUAGAAUUCCACGUGUAGCAGUGAAAUGCGUAGAGAUGUGGAGGAACACCGAUUGCGAAGGCAGCUCACUAAAUCGCCACUGACGCUGAGGCACGAAAGCGUGGGGAGCGAACAGG